AGACACCCUUCUGGGGCAAGACUUGCUUCAGUAGGGCUUUGGUGCUCACUGAGUCUGCUCCCUGAGUAUGUCCCU
rnacentral:pre_miRNA from 1 species